CGUGGGUGAUCUGCCCUCAACUUUGGGAUAAGCCUGGGAAACUGGGUCUAAUACCGGAUAGGAACAAUCUUUAGUGUGGUUGUUGGAAAGCUUUUGCGGUUGGGGAUGAGCUCGCGGCCUAUCAGCUUGUUGGUGGGGUAAUGGCCUACCAAGGCGUCGACGGGUAGCCGGCCUGAGAGGGUGUACGGCCACAUUGGGACUGAGAUACGGCCCAGACUCCUACGGGAGGCAGCAGUGGGGAAUAUUGCACAAUGGGCGGAAGCCUGAUGCAGCGACGCCGCGUGGGGGAUGAAGGCCUUCGGGUUGUAAACUCCUUUCGACAGGGACGAAGCUUUUGUGACGGUACCUGUAUAAGAAGCACCGGCUAACUACGUGCCAGCAGCCGCGGUAAUACGUAGGGUGCGAGCGUUGUCCGGAAUUACUGGGCGUAAAGAGCUCGUAGGUGGUUUGUCGCGUCGUCUGUGAAAUUCCGGGGCUUAACU
rnacentral:rRNA from 1 species